UUUGUCCUACGGGGGGCAGCAGUGAGGAAUAUUGGUCAAUGGGCGAGAGCCUGAACCAGCCAAGUCGCGUGAAGGAUGAAGGAUCUAUGGUUUGUAAACUUCUUUUAUAUGGGAAUAAAGUGAGGAACGUGUUCCUUUUUGUAUGUACCAUAUGAAUAAGCAUCGGCUAACUCCGUGCCAGCAGCCGCGGUAAUACGGAGGAUGCGAGCGUUAUCCGGAUUUAUUGGGUUUAAAGGGUGCGUAGGCGGAAUAUCAAGUCAGCGGUAAAAAUUCGGGGCUCAACCCCGUCGUGCCGUUGAAACUGA
rnacentral:rRNA from 1 species